rnacentral:lncRNA from 1 species
UUGAAUAUGAAUAGACACAAUAUUCUUAUACGUUUAAUCAUAUAGGAAAAUUGGAUAGGAAAAUUGGAUUGAAGAUGUCUAAGAUUAGCCAUACUCAGACAUAACGCCACCACAAGAAUUAGUGUUGAGUUUUCAGAUGACUUUACAAGGAGUAAACAUCUGUAUAUUGAUUUGUUUUUUUUACCUUGGUUUUCUUAUAUUUUAUUAAAACCAUGCUUGCUACAUGGAAUGAUGAGUAUUGUUCGCAUUCAUAGUCAUUUUUUAAAAAUUUUAUUUGAUGCGAUUAAGAAUAUUAUCUGUACUCUACAUUGAUGUUAUGGAUCAACACAUUCUCAUUUUCACCGAAUAAUUUCAUUGUCUAACUUAUUUUAAUUGUUCAUAAAGACUUUAAAGGUGAGAUUAAAACAAAAAUGACUUUAAGAAUGCCUCAGGCAUGUGUAUUACUUAAAACUAUGUUAUGAUAUUGAAUUGUUACAUUUCUCGCUAAAUCAAACUUUGUUUUCAAAAUUUGGGACCAUUAUUUCCGCAAACAUAAACUUUAAACUUUUGAGAUUUAAAACAAAUGAUUAUUAAAAAGUUUUAGUUUUAGUUUUUUAGUUACCAUAGCCAAAGAUGUUUUGGUUACUACACAUAUCCCCACCAUCAAAAGAAUUACCUCCCAAACACUUGACUACCUCAACCAAGAAAAAACUCAAAAGCUUCAAAUAUAGAAACCAAAAUGAUCCUUCAUAUAAGAAAAGUAGGGACUUUAAUUUAUUGCCAUUUAUAUUUGUCUAGAAGAUAUCAUCAAUAUUUUUAACCAUUGACAAAAACAUAUUCACCAUUAACAAUUUUAACAAUCAAACCACCAAUUUGAAACGAUUUUAACAUAACAUAUUCACCAUUUCUCCACUUCCUUUAAAAUCAACCUUUUUUUUUCUCGAACACCUGAGUUUUUAUUAGCUAACAAGUCAACAGAAAAACAAUUACAAAUAUAUUCAUAACUCAUAAGCAAAAAAGUUUGACAAGAUCCUAAAAACGGAUUAAUGUGUAUUUCAUAUAAUCAUUUUCAAGAAAUAGAAUCACGAGUUUACCUUGUGUAGGAAUGAGAUAAUUUGUUUCUAUAAUGAAAUAUAUUUUUCCAAAACUAAAUGGCAACUUAUUGUGAACUUUUCGCAAAGAAAUUUAUGAAAAUGUUUUGGAAAAUUGUAUUAAAAAAAACAGUCAAAAUUUGCAAUUCAAAAACUAGAUACGAUAAUGAAAAACAAAGAUAGAAAAACAUAUGAACCUACACAAGGAAAUCGAGUGAAAAAGCCAGAUAGGCUGAGAACAAAAUAAGGAGGAAAAAAGAGGCUCAGAUCUGUAAACGAUCGAACAAAGAGGAUGAAUCCGCCAUGGCUGCAAACUUACUCGUUGCAAUGUAAAAGACGACAGAUUCUUUCACAUAACCAUCCGAUUUGCCCUGCCAAGAUGCGGAUUAUCUCAACUUUGCUCGAAUCCACUCAGAUACAUAGAAAUUCAUCAUCACAGCCUCAGAUAACGAGUUAAGUUGAAUCAAGAACAUGAGUCGAAAUAUCAAAACUUGGAUGAUACUUUUUGAACGAUUUUGAAACAUAUUACCCUUAUAAGUCAUUUUCCCAGAUCAAAAUUAUGAUAGAAGCGCAAAUUACCAAACCACAGAGACCAUUUUUGCAAUUUACUCUAAUAAAAGCAGCAGCGCAGCAGCAGCACAGCACCAGCAAUGUCGACUAUUUGACUGCGAGCGUGCUUACAGGGGUUGUUGAUUUUUGGGAAAAUCAUCGGCCACGAAGAUGGAGUUUUGAGUAAAUAGAGUCAAAAUCCAACUUCGAAUUGAGCAGAGGAGGGCAACCACCCCUAGAAAAUCCUUUUCGUAAUCCCCUCUGAGUUGGCCUCAUAUCCUUCUGAAUGGAAAUUCGUUUACAGUAGAAAAACCCUAAUUCUUUGGGGUAUAUAGCCCUACUGGUGGCGAUUAUCCCGAGUGCCGCAUAUUAAAAUUAGGUAACUUGUAGUUGUGGUUAGG